GUGGGGAAUCUUGCGCAAUGGGCGAAAGCCUGACGCAGCCAUGCCGCGUGAAUGAUGAAGGUCUUAGGAUUGUAAAAUUCUUUCACCGGGGACGAUAAUGACGGUACCCGGAGAAGAAGCUCCGGCUAACUUCGUGCCAGCAGCCGCGGUAAUACGAAGGGGGCUAGCGUUGCCCGGAAUUAAUGGGCGUAAAGGGCGCGUAGGCGGACAGCUUAGUCAGAGGUGAAAGCCCAGGGCUCAACCUUGGAAUUGCCUUUGAUACUGGCUGUCUUGAGUUUGGGAGAGGUGAGUGGAACUCCGAGUGUAGAGGUGAAAUUCGUAGAUAUUCGGAAGAACACCAGUGGCGAAGGCGACUCACUGGCCCAAUACUGACGCUGAGGCGCGAAAGCGUGGGGAGCAAACAGGAUUAGAAACCCCGGUAGUCC
rnacentral:rRNA from 1 species